rnacentral:lncRNA from 1 species
ACGGAACCCAAAAACAACCAUUCAAAUAGAAAUCCAUGCAGACGAAGUAACCAAGACAUGACUAGGACAAAGUCAAAAACAUUUUGGUACUGCAGUCAGGAAAACACCUUCCAAUCAAAUUACAGAAGUUUGACAUAAAAGCAGAGAUCUGAAUGCCAGCUCCUAUUGGAAUCAUUCUUACAUCCGGCAGUUUUUGUAAACAACUUCGGUUUGAAAAGAUUUCCUUUUUUUAUCAGAUGCAGAUUCCGAACCAGGGAGCAUGUGAGCAAGAGAAAGUCAUCAGGAACACGGGCCAGGAAAGUGUUAUUCUUCACAAGAAACAAUCUUCAAUUUCAUCAACCUCAGCCUAUGAGCAACUUAGUAACCAUCGAUCGAUUACAAGCCAAACUCAAUUUUGAGAGGUCAGAGACAGACCAUACCUCUGCCGUGGAAUUUAUCAUCCAAGUCCAUUACUAUACAGAUCCGCCCAAUAGCUUUAGCUGCCCUACCUAUGACAAAGAUGCUAGAAAUGUCAGUAAAUUGACAUGGGAAUUCUUAUCCAGAAGCUCAAUCAAAAAUACGUUAACAUGCUACUCAAAUUUAUAGAAUCCAACCCAUUCGUGAGGGGAGACAAAGAAGGAUCGAGAUCAUCAGUUACCCACGUCUUCAAAGUAAGAGAUAAUUUUUAUGUAAGUUGAAUGCCGAAUGCAGAUACUGGUAAAGACAAAAAUGAACAAUGAAACGCACAAACUCCGUAGAGAAAGCAACAAAUUCUAAGAUUCAUACUUAAAAAAACAGUAGCCUAGCUGAACUGGGAACUUCCAGAGAAAGAACAAAAUAGAAGGCCUAGCGAACAAGAACAAAGAUUGGAGUAAACAAGCUCCAAUUGAGAUCAAGGGCAAAGAUAAUGAAGACAAUCAUCUAGAACCCUCGCACCAGUCCCCCUCUCGUCUCCAUUACUCCCAAAAAGAACCAUGUUUCCCUAUCUUCUUCAGAUUAUUUUUUACAAAAAAACCAAUAUAAUUUUAUAUUUUUAAACUCGACCUGCCAAAGCUAUGGAACAAAGUUCCACUACAUCUGAACUCUCGUACAUUGCGUAAAUUCAACGUGAAAAGCAAAUAAUUCACACACAAAAUUCAAAUAUACAAAUUGAAGC